GAAAGAGGCAGAUACAGGCAGAGGGAGAAGCAGGCUCCAUGCAGGGAGCCUGACGUGGGACUCCAUCCCGGGUCUCCAGGAUCACGCCCUGGGCCGAAGGCGGUGCUAAACCACUGAGCCACCCAGGCUGCCCUCCCUAAGGGUUUUUGUCUCUCUGCUAAAAUGUCCUGGAGGUGUGGGUGAUAUUAAAAAUAUGUAACAAUCCAGUAUUGCAGAGAACUGCACUGAUAAUCAAAUCAGAAACUGAUCUGAUUUCUACUGAUUUCUACUACCCAGAAUUGUGUGGACCGGUGUCUAUCAGCCCUGCCUGCGGGAGGCUUUUUAAAAUAACGACAUAAAAGGGACUGACCUGAAUUUUUAUGAGUAUUAAAAGAACAUCCAAAGCAGGAAUUACAAAAGCACACGGCACAGAGACGACGGCCUCUCACUAAUUUUCACCCUGUGCUCAUUGCUACUUAAUCUCAGGAUGCAUCCUGGCUCUCAUUUCAUUGUGGUCCAGCGGGGUCAGGUACCAGUUACUGGGGCCGGACUGGGCCGGUUAAGACCCUGAACAGAUCAAGCCAUCUCUGGGCUUCCGUGGCUUCUGUGAGGGGCUCAGAGCCCAGCUCCCUACACAGGGGCCCUUUCCCUGCUUCCAAAGGAGCAGGGGAUUCCCAUUCCCGACUUGGCAUGACUCUUCCUUCCUCUUCGCCUUCCCGUCGUCUCCAAUUCCUGUACUCCAAACUGACCUGACAUAACCACAGGGAACACAUACCUGACAUAUUUUCCCCUCCGAAGCACUUUCCUUGUGGGAAAGCUCUCUGCAAAGAAUGCCCGAAGAGAAGAGAAAAGACCAAGGCUGAGCUGCAUUCGUCAGCCGAUAAGGACCUUGGAAAUAACUCCGCCAGCUGCUCAUUUCCAAAAGUGGAAAGCCGAGACCCAGAAAACUGGAGUGGGUUGCCCAAAAACACCCAGAGCACUUUAACUAAAUUCUUCAGCGGCCUGAAGCAUGUGUACUUUCAGUCCUCUUCCCUGCCUGCACCUUGUAAACAUGUUUGGAACAGAUGGAGGCCUUCUUCGUCCACCGCCCUCAACCCCAGGCGCACACCUAGCCUCAGGGCCCGGAGCCCCAUACUCAAGGCAAAGCGCAGCUGCUCUGAUGGAAGCUGGAGAAGCUGACUAACGCCGUCUUCAAGAUUUUUGCUCCAUCUGUCCUCACCCCCCCUCUUUAGCCUCCUCUCCCUCUAACCACACUGAAUGACUCCCUUGUUCCCAAGCCUCCCCCCACCACUGUGUGAAGAGUUCCCUCUGCCUGGACUAGUCUUCCUCAUCUACACANCCCACCACCACCACCACUGUGUGAAGAGUUCCCUCUGCCUGGACUAGUCUUCCUCAUCUACACAUCAUUCAAAUCCAGGAUCAAAUUUCACCUUUCUUAUGACACCUUCUUUAAUCCAGUCUUCC
rnacentral:lncRNA from 1 species